GCACGAAGCGCACACAGUAGGUGUCAUUUCCAACGGCGACCAGCUCGGCAGGCUGACUGGCUCCAGAGGGGGAAGUGACCUCAGCUGUGACGUCCUUCAUGUCGAUCGCUGUAAACAGAGACAGACGGGCUCUACAACGCACCCUCCACCCCAGCACUGCCCACUGAGCAGCGGGCAUCAGCAACCCAAAUACCCCUCGCUGCCUUCAUUCCGCCUGCCAGCACUAGACCAGAGAGGCCAGAGAUGAGGCGCACGCGCCCAGGAGAGAGGCUCAGGUCCGAGGCAACAGCAGAGGGACGAGCCCUGCCACUGCUGGGUCUUCCUGACCACCAGAGGGAGCAGUAGGAGCGACAGGAGGUGUGAGAGAGGAGCUGCCGAGAAAAGACCAGGAGGAACCAGCUCACUGGAGGAAGAGGAGCAGUGGAAGGUCGUCUUUACCUGGGACGUGUUCCUCAGCGAAGCGGAUUGAGACGAUGUAGUUUCCAGGUUCAGUAGGACAGUAGGUGACUCUACACGUCCCGUCCUCCAUGUCCUCUGUUUGGAUGUCGACCUUUGCUGGGCCCCUCGAUGGACAAAGCCAGGCCACCGUAACCUAAACAGCUGGCAUUGUUGAAGGUGGUUCCCUGGAUGAGGCCGUCGCCGUGAGCUUUGACCCGGCUGGCGUCACCGAUCUCGGACUGGACGACCAUGAUGGUGAUGGGACUGUUAGCAACGUGCCGACCGUUCUUCAGGAUGCUGACCUGGUGUUCA